AGAGUUUGAUCCUGGCUCAGGACGAACGCUGGCGGCGUGCUUAACACAUGCAAGUCGAACGAUGAAGCCCUUCGGGGUGGAUUAGUGGCGAACGGGUGAGUAACACGUGGGCAAUCUGCCCUUCACUCUGGGACAAGCCCUGGAAACGGGGUCUAAUACCGGAUAAUACUCUGUCCCGCAUGGGACGGGGUUAAAAGCUCCGGCGGUGAAGGAUGAGCCCGCGGCCUAUCAGCUUGUUGGUGGGGUGAUGGCCUACCAAGGCGACGACGGGUAGCCGGCCUGAGAGGGCGACCGGCCACACUGGGACUGAGACACGGCCCAGACUCCUACGGGAGGCAGCAGUGGGGAAUAUUGCACAAUGGGCGAAAGCCUGAUGCAGCGACGCCGCGUGAGGGAUGACGGCCUUCGGGUUGUAAACCUCUUUCAGCAGGGAAGAAGCGAGAGUGACGGUACCUGCAGAAGAAGCGCCGGCUAACUACGUGCCAGCAGCCGCGGUA
rnacentral:rRNA from 1 species